GGUUAAGCGACUAAGCGUACACGGUGGAUGCCCUGGCAGUCAGAGGCGAUGAAGGACGUGCUAAUCUGCGAUAAGCGCCGGUAAGGUGAUAUGAACCGUUAUAACCGGCGAUUUCCGAAUGGGGAAACCCAGUGUGAUUCGUCACACUAUCAUUAACUGAAUCCAUAGGUUAAUGAGGCGAACCGGGGGAACUGAAACAUCUAAGUACCCCGAGGAAAAGAAAUCAACCGAGAUUCCCCCAGUAGCGGCGAGCGAACGGGGAGGAGCCCAGAGCCUGAAUCAGCAUGUGUGUUAGUGGAAGCGUCUGGAAAGGCGCGCGAUACAGGGUGACAGCCCCGUACACAAAAGCGCAUGUGCUGUGAGCUCGAUGAGUAGGGCGGGACACGUGGUAUCCUGUCUGAAUAUGGGGGGACCAUCCUCCAAGGCUAAAUACUCCUGACUGACCGAUAGUGAACCAGUACCGUGAGGGAAAGGCGAAAAGAACCCCGGCGAGGGGAGUGAAAAAGAACCUGAAACCGUGUACGUACAAGCAGUGGGAGCACAGGUUUACCUGUGUGACUGCGUACCUUUUGUAUAAUGGGUCAGCGACUUAUAUUCUGUAGCAAGGUUAACCGUAUAGGGGAGCCGUAGGGAAACCGAGUCUUAACCGGGCGUUAAGUUGCAGGGUAUAGACCCGAAACCCGGUGAUCUAGCCAUGGGCAGGUUGAAGGUUGGGUAACACUAACUGGAGGACCGAACCGACUAAUGUUGAAAAAUUAGCGGAUGACCUGUGGCUGGGGGUGAAAGGCCAAUCAAACCGGGAGAUAGCUGGUUCUCCCCGAAAGCUAUUUAGGUAGCGCCUCGUGAAUUCAUCUCCGGGGGUAGAGCACUGUUUCGGCUAGGGGGCCAUCCCGGCUUACCAACCCGAUGCAAACUGCGAAUACCGGAGAAUGUUAUCACGGGAGACACACGGCGGGUGCUAACGUCCGUCGUGAAGAGGGAAACAACCCAGACCGCCAGCUAAGGUCCCAAAGUCAUGGUUAAGUGGGAAACGAUGUGGGAAGGCCCAGACAGCCAGGAUGUUGGCUUAGAAGCAGCCAUCAUUUAAAGAAAGCGUAAUAGCUCACUGGUCGAGUCGGCCUGCGCGGAAGAUGUAACGGGGCUAAACCAUGCACCGAAGCUGCGGCAGCGACGCUUAUGCGUUGUUGGGUAGGGGAGCGUUCUGUAAGCCUGCGAAGGUGGCCUGUGAGGGUUGCUGGAGGUAUCAGAAGUGCGAAUGCUGACAUAAGUAACGAUAAAGCGGGUGAAAAGCCCGCUCGCCGGAAGACCAAGGGUUCCUGUCCAACGUUAAUCGGGGCAGGGUGAGUCGACCCCUAAGGCGAGGCCGAAAGGCGUAGUCGAUGGGAAACGGGUUAAUAUUCCCGUACUUGGUGUUACUGCGAAGGGGGGACGGAGAAGGCUAUGUUGGCCGGGCGACGGUUGUCCCGGUUUAAGCGUGUAGGUGUGUGUUCCAGGUAAAUCCGGUUCACUUUAACACUGAGGCGUGACGACGAGGCACUACGGUGCUGAAGCAACAAAUGCCCUGCUUCCAGGAAAAGCCUCUAAGCAUCAGGUAACAUCAAAUCGUACCCCAAACCGACACAGGUGGUCAGGUAGAGAAUACCAAGGCGCUUGAGAGAACUCGGGUGAAGGAACUAGGCAAAAUGGUGCCGUAACUUCGGGAGAAGGCACGCUGACACGUAGGUGAAGUGAUUUACUCAUGGAGCUGAAGUCAGUCGAAGAUACCAGCUGGCUGCAACUGUUUAUUAAAAACACAGCACUGUGCAAACACGAAAGUGGACGUAUACGGUGUGACGCCUGCCCGGUGCCGGAAGGUUAAUUGAUGGGGUCAGCGCAAGCGAAGCUCCUGAUCGAAGCCCCGGUAAACGGCGGCCGUAACUAUAACGGUCCUAAGGUAGCGAAAUUCCUUGUCGGGUAAGUUCCGACCUGCACGAAUGGCGUAAUGAUGGCCAGGCUGUCUCCACCCGAGACUCAGUGAAAUUGAACUCGCUGUGAAGAUGCAGUGUACCCGCGGCAAGACGGAAAGACCCCGUGAACCUUUACUAUAGCUUGACACUGAACAUUGAGCCUUGAUGUGUAGGAUAGGUGGGAGGCUUUGAAGCGUGGACGCCAGUCUGCGUGGAGCCGACCUUGAAAUACCACCCUUUAAUGUUUGAUGUUCUAACGUGGACCCGUAAUCCGGGUUGCGGACAGUGUCUGGUGGGUAGUUUGACUGGGGCGGUCUCCUCCUAAAGAGUAACGGAGGAGCACGAAGGUUGGCUAAUCCUGGUCGGACAUCAGGAGGUUAGUGCAAUGGCAUAAGCCAGCUUGACUGCGAGCGUGACGGCGCGAGCAGGUGCGAAAGCAGGUCAUAGUGAUCCGGUGGUUCUGAAUGGAAGGGCCAUCGCUCAACGGAUAAAAGGUACUCCGGGGAUAACAGGCUGAUACCGCCCAAGAGUUCAUAUCGACGGCGGUGUUUGGCACCUCGAUGUCGGCUCAUCACAUCCUGGGGCUGAAGUAGGUCCCAAGGGUAUGGCUGUUCGCCAUUUAAAGUGGUACGCGAGCUGGGUUUAGAACGUCGUGAGACAGUUCGGUCCCUAUCUGCCGUGGGCGCUGGAGAACUGAGGGGGGCUGCUCCUAGUACGAGAGGACCGGAGUGGACGCAUCACUGGUGUUCGGGUUGUCAUGCCAAUGGCACUGCCCGGUAGCUAAAUGCGGAAGAGAUAAGUGCUGAAAGCAUCUAAGCACGAAACUUGCCCCGAGAUGAGUUCUCCCUGAGACUUAGAGUCUCCUGAAGGAACGUUGAAGACGACGACGUUGAUAGGCCGAGUGUGUAAGCGCAGCGAUGCGUUGAGCUAACCGGUACUAAUGAACCGUGAGGCUUAACCUUAC
rnacentral:rRNA from 1 species